AUUGAACGCUGGCGGCAUGCCUUACACAUGCAAGUCGAACGGUAACAGGUCUUCGGAUGCUGACGAGUGGCGAACGGGUGAGUAAUACAUCGGAACGUGCCCGAUCGUGGGGGAUAACGAAGCGAAAGCUUUGCUAAUACCGCAUAAGAUCUACGGAUGAAAGCAGGGGACCGCAAGGCCUUGCGCGAACGGAGCGGCCGAUGGCAGAUUGGGUAGUUGGUGGGAUAAAAGCUUACCAAGCCGACGAUCUGUAGCUGGUCUGAGAGGACGACCAGCCACGCUGGGACUGAGACACGGCCCAGACUCCUACGGGAGGCAGCAGUGGGGAAUUUUGGACAAUGGGCGAAAGCCUGAUCCAGCCAUGCCGCGUGCAGGAUGAAGGCCUUCGGGUUGUAAACUGCUUUUGUACGGAACGAAAAGACUCUUUCUAAUAAAGAGGGUCCAUGACGGUACCGUAAGAAUAAGCACCGGCUAACUACGUGCCAGCCGCCGCCGUAAGAC
rnacentral:rRNA from 1 species